rnacentral:lncRNA from 1 species
CCUGUUGAAUGUUUGCAACGUUCAAAUGUCAAUAUACUUCAUUCUCCUGUGGUUUCACAUAGUCUGAAUCCAGUAACCUUCUGGCCAGAUUGAAGACGACCUGUUUGGCAGGAUUUUUAAAGAGAGAUUUUCUCUUUGAUUUGCCCACAUCCUCCUGAUGCUGAAGUAUCCAAAAGAGAGGAGAGGAAAGUGAUUGCAGAAGCAAGAUAAACUUGGAACGUAGGAAGCUGCGGUUGAAUUAUUUUAUGGGUGUGAACACAGGCUCAGAGAAGCCCUGCUGUCACUGCAGCACGCUUAUUUUGAAGAUAAGUGUGAAUCAGCAUGCUGUUCUUAUAGGCAAAGAAGUAGCAGCAAGAAAUCUCAGACUAUGCAAGAGGAUCAUGACCUGGCAAUCAGAGGAUUUCUGCACUGAUCCAAGCCAGAAAAAAUGCUACUUUGCUUGGUGGACACUUCCCAUGGAUUUCUUACACAUCCACAUCCAAGGAGUGGAUGUAUCUGUCACGCACACCAAGCUGCUAACACCCGUGUGGUCUUGGUAGGAAAAUGCAAAGGAAAUCCAAAAGUGCUGGCCUUGACUCCCUUCCUCACUGUCCUUCCAUACCUGCUCUGCCUUGGCUUUGUGCCCUGCUCCCUCCCUAGCGCUCUUAUCUCCCACUGAACCUGAGAAACAAAUGCUUGUGGAAGCUAAGUCGUCCCCAGCUGUUCGCUCUGUUCCUGAGCUCCCUUCCUCCCUCUCAUUCCUUUUGGAUCUGUUUCUAAACUUUUUGGGGCAGCAACUACUUUUCUGCAUGCAACAUCAAUGGACACUGUUCUUGGCUGGCCUCAAGGCACAACUGGAAUAAAUGUGAAUAACAACAACAGUGACAAAAAG